GUCAGUGGUUAGGAUGCUGGGUUAAUUUUACUCCCAAGGAAAGUGAUGCCUGAGAGAAAGAGCCAUUUGUUUGUCUUUUUAAUUUCAGCUUCUUCCUAAAUAAGACAGCCUUUUAGAAAGACUUUCACAGUGUCAGGUUAGUUACCUAAAUCUUAGGUAGUGUCAGGUUAGUUACCUAAAUCUUAGGUAACGUCAGGUUACUUACCUAAAGUCACUUUGUGACUUCAUCCUGAUAUAAAGGAACAAGAAAGAGAGUUGGAUUAGGAUAACUCACUAUGAUGGGGUAACACAUAGAAAAGGCACGGAGAAGUUAAGUGAUUUGCCUAUGGUCACAAAGCCUGUUAGCAGCAAACCCAGAACAAGAACCUAAGAUUUAUGACUGCCAGUUCCAGCUGUUUUUCUUUGUCAUGCAUCCUCAGCAAUCAACAUAAUCAAAAUCUGUUUGGAGACUAUUGAUUUGUAUAAAGGAAGAUAACAUUGAUCAACCAAACAGGAAGUAAUCCAGUGAAUCUGGGACAGCGGUGGAAUUCAGAAGCAGGGCCAGAUGAGGACCCUAAGACCUAGCGAAACUAAGUCAUUUGCUCCAGAAGACAAAGGUAAUCAUUAGAAAUCAACAUGAGAUUUCAGCUCUCCUGACCCUUAGUACAACAUCUGAAAGAAGAUAUGUUGUCUUUACUCACAGUGGAGGCAUUAUUCUGGCUGUGUUUAAUUUGCCCUCCCUAUGGAUUCAGGACCCAUAACUCUUGUUCUCACUCAUCUGCUAUGCUGCUGAUAAGGACUUUCAGGUCAACAGCUGUAACUGCUAAAUGAAGUUAAUACUCUGAAAAAAAAAAAAAAAAGAAAAAGAAAAAACAGAAGGAACAGAGACCAAAAGAUUGAAAGCCAUUUGGAAAUUUCUUGAGUGGUGUCUGGCAGGUCUUUUAUGAAGAUUACAUAAACCAGGAAAAAAAAAAAAAAAAAAAAAAAAACGCCUGCCGACUGUGUUAUCUGUAGUGCCUAUUGCCUAUUUUGGCUGAUUCAUUGAUGGUGUAACAGAUAACAGAAUGAAAGGAAAUGGUUUGGUUUCUAUAAAGGAAAAAGAAUGGUUUGUAUAAGGAAACCAUUAGUUUCCUGAGAUUGCUAUACCAAAUUAUCAAAACUUGGUGUCUUAAAACAAUAGAAAUUUUUUCUCCCACAGUUCUGGAGGCCAGAAACUCAAAAUCAGUAUUUGGCAGCUGAAAUCAAGGUGUUGGCAGCACCCUCUGGAGGCUCUCAGACAGAAUCUGUCCCUUGUGUCUAACAGAUUCUGGUGGCUGCUGGCAUUCGUUGACUUGUGGUCGUAUCAUUCCCAUCUCCUCCUCCAUAGUCAUAUCGCUUUCUCCUCUUCUCUGGCAUUUGCAUCCCUUUUUAAAGACACAUGUGACUGCAUUUAGGGCUUACCAGGAUAAUGCAGGAUAAUCUUCCUAUUUCAGGAUCCUUUGCCACAUCUUCAAAGUCCUUUUUGGCCAAUAAAGUAAUAUUCACAGGCUCCAAGUUUUAGGAUGUGGGUAUUGGUGUUGGGGUGGGCGGCGGAUUUGGGGGGUGAACAACCAGCCUAGUACUGGCGGGUGACUGGUUAUCCAUCAUUCUUAAGUCAGAAACGAUGACCCAAAAUCUCUUUUUGCUUUUGCUUCACUCAUUUUGCAUUUAAUUACUAGGCUCUGCUUCUUCAGACACUUUUAUUACAUUUUAGUUUUUGCUACAUCUCUCAAAAAUGUCUUAUUAUUUUCACAGCCUGUCAUUUAGUUAUGUUUUCUUCUAAGUGUUUGGCUGUCUUGGUCAGUGCUCUAAAGGAAUUAAAAUCACUUGGUCAG